GUCGAUGCGCAGCGCCAGCUGCUUGUUGUCGUCCAUCAUGUGCAGGAUUUUGGCCUGGGGGGAGGGAGGAAGAGGAGGAGAGAGAGAGGAACAAUUCCCAGCUGGAAGAGCUGUGAGUAUCACCAGCUUCUUUCAGAACAUCCUGGAAAAUUGACCUUCUGUGAUGGGAAAAAGAUGUCCAAAGUGGGAUUUUUGAUCUGUGCCUCAGGUUUGUUGUGCCCUGGCAAUCUGUAGGGCCAGCUUCCAAUUGGCCCCUUCCAAAUAUCACCAGAGGCAUCUGCAUGGCCAUUUAUCACCAAGAAAAUGCAGUCCCAGAGACCAGCAACUCCAGCAGCAAUCCCCAGCAAAAGCACAGCCUGGCCAAUGCUCCACAGUCUCUUCCAGCACAUCUCCACUCAGUAAUUCCCAUCAAAGCUGCAGCAGUUGUUAAUACCUUCAUUUUUUCCCCUCUGCAAAGAUGGAUUUAUAACUGCAUUUCACCCCCCUCUCACUCAUAAAAAAUGGAGCACCAACUCUUUCCUUCCUUGGAUAAACAGCAGCAUCUUCAUGCAAACCUUGCUGAUGUGGUAUUGCUGUAAUAACUUAUUAACUUAUGAGUUACUAACUUAGAAGUAUUGAAACUGAGCUACACAGAGCUAAGGAUGGACAGGUUUAAAAUUAAAUUUAAAAUCUAAAAUUUGAGUGAAUAUUCUGAUUAUUCUGAAUAUUUCUCCCCGUUGUUGCUGCCUUGCCACAUUUCCCCAUCUCUCUUUCUGUGUGGGUAAGAUGGUCCUGACGACCUUCCUGUGCUGCUCAUCCCUGGGGACCAUGAAAACAAACCCAUUAAUGUUUAUAAAGUGUCUCAGACUGGGGGAAUUACAUCACUGCGGCGAGAUACAAGCUUAAUGGAUCAAAACAAACCCCAGCUCCAAACCCCCCAGCUCAGACACAUCUCAGUUACCCGGCACAAACCUCGAGGAAUCCCACUGAGAAGGGAUAAUUGAGAGAAAAAUGUGAUCCCGGAGAUUUUCCUGCAGUAAACCCAUUUUACAUUAAUAGGAAGCAGAUUUCCAGCCCCCUUUGCAAACGAAUGACUUCCACAGCAUAUUUCACAGCUGAGAGCAUCCAUGGCACCAGCUUCGGACGCGGGGCCAUUAAACCCAACAUUUGUUUAAUGAAUUACAGCAGUGCAUGAGUCUGGGUGUGCUCAGCCUGUGUUUAAAUGUUUAUUGGGAGGACGUCAGCAGCCAGCUCUGCAUGAGCAGUAACAAUGGUGACACGCCGGGGUGGGUCACCCUACCCUGCCAUUAAUGGAGCAUCAGCAUUCGUCUGACAGCUCCUUUGUCCUGGGAAGUCAGCUCUGAUGAAGAUUUGACAUUAGCAGAGGCACGGUGAAACUGAGACGCCUUUGAAUUUUCAUGAUCCUCCAGAUGCUUUAGCCUGAUGGAUUACAGGUAAGAUCGCUGUCCUAAUUCGGGCAGGUGUCAGAAAUAAAUAUUUGCACCCAUCUGUUUCAACUGUGGCAAUAAACACCACGGGCAGCCCUUUGCUCCCUUCCCAGAAGGCAAAACUGGAAACAGGGCAGGGCACAUGGGAAGGGUCAGUGGGAGCAGUCUGGGAAUGGAAGGUGCCACAGAGAAAUGUGAAUUUUAAAAAUUAUAAUAUUUGUCAAGUAAGUGAAAGACGAGAUAUCAAGGGUGGUGAAGCCCUCUGAAAUAAUUCUAAAGUUAAUUCAGAAAUAGAGAACUCCAAAUUGUAAGGAAAAGGGGUUUUAACACGCACAGCACACUGUCCCCCAUGGGCACCCAGCAGGCAGGGAGCACAUGAGCAUCCACAAAAUUCCCACGGGCGUUUCAGGGACAAAACAGCCCAGUCCAGACAAGAGUGAAACAUAAUUUAGUCCUUCCCUUUUCUUUCAGAUGAAAGAACUCACAUUCUGCUCCAAGUGCCAUCACCCUCCCUUGUUUUGUCAGGGCACCAACCCUGGGUCAGGCCUGGUUUGGGGAUCACCCCACUGCCAAACCAGUCCCUUUCACAUCAACAGAACGUGCUGGGGAGUGUGGAACAAUAACAACAGCCUCUCCCUUCCCCAUUUCCCCUGGUUUUAUACAAAAUGCUACCAGCAGGGUGGACUAAUCCUGUAUUGAAUAAGAUUACAAACCUAUAAUUACAUUCCCCACUAACCUGUGAAAGACCUAAAAAUACACCUAGGUAAAGUUUCAGCAUUGAGAAGGCAGCUGAACUAUUGGCAUUAUAUUUCUACAAUACAUAUUACUUUAAUUACAGUCAAGGUAUCAGUAUGGAUUCUGUGAAUUUGGGGGUUGGAGGGUACUGAUGUCCAUUUCUUUAAGGUUUGUAACACAGGUUGGCUGGAGUCAGCCACUUUGUGAAAAAUAACACUUUUCCAAGAUUGAGAGAAAUGCCUCUACAUCUGAUAAUUCACAAGUUCUUUUGGGUGGGAGGAUACUGCAGGUAUCAUUCCAAAGGAUGGGGAACUGAGGGGCUGGGACAGGAUGCAGUGGGAGAGGGCACCAAGAAAUAGAGUGAGGCUUUCCAGCUACAUCAGGAACAACUCCUUCAUCUCACCAUCAUCUACCCUAAACACCCAGCCAGAGAAGGGCAGGGAACAUGUAUUUUCUAAUAAAGUCUGUUUAACUUUGACAUAGAUUACUUCUAAAAAACCCCCAUCAAACCACACCAAACACACGAAUGUGAUAAAGUAUCUCAGUACAAAAUCAAUUCCAAGGCGAUUAUCAGCCUUUGAAAAAUUCGGGCUCUAAGUCCUGGCAGGGAUCAAAUUGAGCUGCUGUCAACUCAUUUGGGCAUUUUACUUUGCUUCUGCUAUCUGACAGUUAAAAUAAUCUCAAAUAGCUCCCAUUAUUCCUGCAUUUUCUGCUUUUUGGCCCAGGAAAAAUGCCAUGCAGCCACCUCCCAGCCUGCAGCAUCACUCCCCAGCUGUGGCUGGGGGAGGACCCCAAGGCUGCCAGAGCUUCUUCCACUUCUUCCACUUUGGGGAACAAUUGUAGAUAAGGUUGAUGAGCUGUGAGCUGCCACAGCCAGACCCAAGUCCCUCCAGCUGAUUUCUGUGUGCUGCUGGGAGCAAUCUGUGGUCCCAGAGGGGGUACACUGGGCAACAGCUGGAAUGCCAGGAGGAGCUCAGAGAGAAGGCUUGAAGCAUUAUCUUCUGCUAAUGGAGGACAGAAAUCAAAUGAAGAUGUCAAAACUGUGCUCCCUCUGCCUCAGGCAAAACGGAGCCACAGUGACCCCCAAGUCCUUCCAGAGGGGAUCUCAGUUUGUGUGAAGGAAAAGCAUCUCCAGCACCCUCAUAACUGAGGGCAGCACAAGAUGAAAGAUGAGCAAAGAAAAUCAGAGGAAAAUAAUGGUGUCAGGAUCUGGAUCUGAGAUCUGCAGCUUUAAAGGAGGGAAAAAGCAGGGAGAUCCCAGCCUUAGGGUGCAAGAUGUGUUGAAAUAUAGAUGUUAAUCAGGCUGGUGGUAACUCAUGUGGGUUCAGUAGUGGCAUUUCCUGAAGAUAAAGCACAUUUUAAAUGCACUCCUUACUUGCUGGUAACAAAACUUUCCAUUAGUACAAGGAAAUACAUAUUAUACCUCAAACACGCUUCACUGAGC